UUUAAAGUCUGACCUGCCCAAUGAAAAUUUAAUGGCCGCAGUAUUUUGACUGUGCAAAGGUAGCAUAAUCAUUAGUUUUUUAAUUGAAAGCUGGAAUGAAUGGUUUGAUGAAAAAUUAACUGUCUAUAAUUAAAUAAAGAAUUUUAUUUUUAAGUUAAAAAGCUUAAAUAAUUUAAUAAGACGAGAAGACCCUAUAGAGUUUAAUAUAAAAUAUUAUAAUUUUAAUAAGUUUAAAAAUGAAAUAAUAAAAUUUUAUAUUUUGUUGGGGAGACAUAAAAAUUAGAAAAACUUUUUAAAUUUUAAAACAUUAAUUUAUGAUAUUAUGAUCCUUAAUAAAGAUUAAAAGAAAAAAUUACCUUAGGGAUAACAGCGUUAUUUUUUUUUAGAGUUCUAAUCGAAAAAAAAGAUUGCGACCUCGAUGUUGGAUUAAAAUUAAAAAUUGGUGUAGAGGCUAAUUUUUUAGGUCUGUUCGACCUUUGAAAUUUUACA
rnacentral:rRNA from 1 species